rnacentral:rRNA from 1 species
ACUACGGUGCUGAAGCAACAAAUGCCCUGCUUCCAGGAAAAGCCUCUAAGCAUCAGGUAACAUCAAAUCGUACCCCAAACCGACACAGGUGGUCAGGUAGAGAAUACCAAGGCGCUUGAGAGAACUCGGGUGAAGGAACUAGGCAAAAUGGUGCCGUAACUUCGGGAGAAGGCACGCUGAUAUGUAGGUGAAGUCCCUCGCGGAUGGAGCUGAAAUCAGUCGAAGAUACCAGCUGGCUGCAACUGUUUAUUAAAAACACAGCACUGUGCAAACACGAAAGUGGACGUAUACGGUGUGACGCCUGCCCGGUGCCGGAAGGUUAAUUGAUGGGGUUAGCGCAAGCGAAGCUCUUGAUCGAAGCCCCGGUAAACGGCGGCCGUAACUAUAACGGUCCUAAGGUAGCGAAAUUCCUUGUCGGGUAAGUUCCGACCUGCACGAAUGGCGUAAUGAUGGCCAGGCUGUCUCCACCCGAGACUCAGUGAAAUUGAACUCGCUGUGAAGAUGCAGUGUACCCGCGGCAAGACGGAAAGACCCCGUGAACCUUUACUAUAGCUUGACACUGAACAUUGAGCCUUGAUGUGUAGGAUAGGUGGGAGGCUUUGAAGUGUGGACGCCAGUCUGCAUGGAGCCGACCUUGAAAUACCACCCUUUAAUGUUUGAUGUUCUAACGUUGACCCGUAAUCCGGGUUGCGGACAGUGUCUGGUGGGUAGUUUGACUGGGGCGGUCUCCUCCUAAAGAGUAACGGAGGAGCACGAAGGUUGGCUAAUCCUGGUCGGACAUCAGGAGGUUAGUGCAAUGGCAUAAGCCAGCUUGACUGCGAGCGUGACGGCGCGAGCAGGUGCGAAAGCAGGUCAUAGUGAUCCGGUGGUUCUGAAUGGAAGGGCCAUCGCUCAACGGAUAAAAGGUACUCCGGGGAUAACAGGCUGAUACCGCCCAAGAGUUCAUAUCGACGGCGGUGUUUGGCACCUCGAUGUCGGCUCAUCACAUCCUGGGGCUGAAGUAGGUCCCAAGGGUAUGGCUGUUCGCCAUUUAAAGUGGUACGCGAGCUGGGUUUAGAACGUCGUGAGACAGUUCGGUCCCUAUCUGCCGUGGGCGCUGGAGAACUGAGGGGGGCUGCUCCUAGUACGAGAGGACCGGAGUGGACGCAUCACUGGUGUUCGGGUUGUCAUGCCAAUGGCACUGCCCGGUAGCUAAAUGCGGAAGAGAUAAGUGCUGAAAGCAUCUAAGCACGAAACUUGCC